rnacentral:tRNA from 1 species
GCCGCUGUAGCUCAGUGGUAGAGCGCACCCUUGGUAAGGGUGAGGUCGUGGGUUCAAGUCCCACCAGCGGCU